ACUCCUACGGGAGGCAGCAGUGGGGAAUAUUGGACAAUGGGGGGAACCCGUGAUCCAGCCAUGCCGCGUGUGUGAAGAAGGCCUUAUGGUUGUAAAGCACUUUAAAGCGAGGAGGAGGCUACUGAGACUAAUACUCUUGGAUAGUGGACGUUACUCGCAGAAUAAGCACCGGCUAACUCUGUGCCAGCAGCCGCGGUAAUACAGAGGGUGCGAGCGUUAAUCGGAUUUACUGGGCGUAAAGCGUGCGUAGGCGGCUUUUAAGUCGGAUGUGAAAUCCCCGAGCUUAACUUGGGAAUUGCAUUCGAUACUGGGGAAGCUAGAGUAUGGGAGAGGAUGGUAGAAUUCCAGGUGUAGCGGUGAAAUGCGUAGAGAUCUGGAGGAAUACCGAUGGCGAAGGCAGCCAUCUGGCCUAAUACUGACGCUGAGGUACGAAAGCAUGGGAGCAAACAGGAUUAGAUACCCCUGGUAGCGACUGA
rnacentral:rRNA from 1 species